rnacentral:rRNA from 1 species
UACGUAGGGUGCAAGCGUUAAUCGGAAUUACUGGGCGUAAAGCGUGCGCAGGCGGUGAUGUAAGACAGGUGUGAAAGCCCCGGGCUCAACCUGGGAAUGGCAUUGGAAACUGGCUUGCUGGAGUGUGGCAGAGGGGGGUGGAAUUCCGCGUGUAGCAGUGAAAUGCGUAGAGAUGCGGAGGAACACCGAUGGCGAAGGCAGCCCCCUGGGCCAACACUGACGCUCAGGCACGAAAGCGUGGGGAGCAAACAGG